rnacentral:rRNA from 1 species
UAGACCGCCUGGGGAGUACGGCCGCAAGGUUAAAACUCAAAUGAAUUGACGGGGGCCCGCACAAGCGGUGGAGCAUGUGGUUUAAUUCGAUGCAACGCGAAGAACCUUACCUGGUCUUGACAUCCACAGAAGAAUCCAGAGAUGGAUUUGUGCCUUCGGGAACUGUGAGACAGGUGCUGCAUGGCUGUCGUCAGCUCGUGUUGUGAAAUGUUGGGUUAAAUCCCGCAACGAGCGCAACCCUUAUCCUUUGUUGCCAGCGGUUAGGCCGGGAACUCAAAGGAGACUGCCAGUGAUAAACUGGAGGAAGGUGGGGAUGACGUCAAGUCAUCAUGGCCCUUACGACCAGGGCUACACACGUGCUACAAUGGCGCAUACAAAGAGAAGCGACCUCGC